AUUGAACGCUUGCGGCAUGCUUUACACAUGCAAGUCGAACGGUAACAGGCCGCAAGGUGCUGACGAGUGGCGAACGGGUGAGUAAUGCAUCUGAACGUGCCCAGUCGUGGGGGAUAACGCAGCGAAAGCUGCGCUAAUACCGCAUACGAUCUAUGGACGAAGACGGGGGACCGAAAGGCCUCGCGCGAUUGGAGCGGCCGAUGUCAGAUUAGGUAGUUGGUGGGGUAAAGGCCCACCAAGCCAACGAUUUGUAGCUGGUCUGAGAGGACGACCAGCCACACUGGGACUGAGACACGGCCCAGACUCCUACGGGAGGCAGCAGUGGGGAAUUUUGGACAAUGGGCGCAAGCCUGAUCCAGCUAUGCCGCGUGCAGGAAGAAGGCCUUCGGGUUGUAAACUGCUUUUGUAUGGAACGAAACGGUCCGGGUUAAUACCCUGGGCUAAUGACGGUACCGUAAGAAUAAGCACCGGCUAACUACGUGCCAGCCGCCGCAGUAACAC
rnacentral:rRNA from 1 species